ensembl:lncRNA
CAAGGCGGAGGAUUAGGCUAGUGAGCUGCGGCGCCGGCCGCGUUUUGUAUUUUUAAAGCAGAUUUAUUUGUUUCUUUGGAAGGAAAGUGAAGAGAGAGAGAUCUUCUAUCUGCUGGUUCACACCCCAAAUGUUUGUGACCAGCUGGGGCUGGGCCAGGCUGAAGCUAGGAACCCAAAACUUCUUUCACGUCUCCUGCGUGGGUGGCAGGAACCCAGGUACUUGGGCUAUUCCCUGCUGCCACCCAGGCACAUUGGCAGGAGACUGGAUGGGAAGUGUGGAGUUGCCAGGACUUGAGCUAGCACUCGGAUACUGCAUGUGGGCAUCCCAAGUGGUGACUUAAGCCACUGUGCCUUGGUGCCUGACCAGGGCAAGCAGAGUUUACUUUAUUUAAGAUUUAUUUAUUUAUUUGAAAGGCAGAGUUUCAUAGAGGGAGAGGCAGAGAGAGAGAGAGAGAGAGAGAGAGAGAUUUUCUAUCUGCAAAUGGCCAGUCUGAAGGCAGGAGCUUCUUCUGGGUCUCCCAUGUGGGUGACAGGGACACAAGCACUUGGAACAUCUCCCACUGCUUUCCCAGGCUCAUGAGCAGGGAGCUGGAUCAGAAGUGGAGCAGCCAGGUCUUGAACUGGUGCCCUUAUGGAAUGGCUUUGGCUUAACCCCGCUGUGCCGCGGUGACUGACCAGGGCAAUCAUAUUUUAAACAGCAUUUCCUUGAUCUCCUGCUGGGGGUGGCAGGUGCAACAGCCCUUUCCAGGAAGUGUCGGGGGCCCUGUGCAGAGAGCCGUCCACUUUGGCUUGUCCCCAAAACAGCAAGUGUCUCCCCCCAGGCGAGAGACAGAGCUGAGUUUGGCGCAGCAACCCAGAGAGAGGGUGUGAGUGUCCCCACAGCCUGGACAGUGGAUGAGCCCAGGGCAGCCCCUCCUGAGCUGGUGAGCAGGUGCUGCUCCUGGGACUGGCUUGUAAAUGCUCCAGAGCAGGGGCCACGGUCUGCACAGGUCAGGGGGCUUCUCUGGGGGUCUACACAGGAGGGCGUUUGGAGGCAGCCUGCCUUCUGCUGUCCUGGAACUUUUGAGAGUGCAGACCAGCGCCCCUCCCCCUUGCCCUAUUUGCUACAUAGGAGUCAUGGAAUUCUGGCAUUUUCUCUUUUCUGCAGACGCUAUGUACUGGGAGACCGCAGAAGGAUCUGAGCAACACUGGUGCUUGGGCUCUCGUGGGAUCUCCCAGUGCUCUGGCCUGCAGGUGUCAAUCACUCAGAAGAAGGGAGAAGGCAGAGACGCGCUCCAGGAUGAGGCUCUCUGGGUCACCUCGCUCAGUGCUUCCUUGUUGGGGGACUUGGAUCCCGCCGGGGUACAGAGACAGGGUCUGGAGAAGCCUCCCCCGAGACCCUCAGGAAGGUAGCGACCCUGAGAGCACAGGGCACAGGUAAGGAAGAAGGGCUUCGGCUCCCCGGCUCCCCGGCUCCCUAGCCAAGGAGUGGCGCUGCCCAUGCAGUCCGUACCUGACCCCCGCCCGGGACCUGACCUAAGCCAUUCUGGGGAAGGGCGUCCACAGGAGACGGCUUAAGAGUGGAGCAGGGAGGCUGCCUUCUUAGGGUACUUGGGGCCACACUGCCCCUCUAAGCCCCUGCCACAUGUCUGGCUCAAAGCUGUGGCUUCCAGCCUCUGUCCCCCAGGCUCCCAGUGGGAGGUGGCCAGCGGCUCCAAUAGGGCAGUGACGUCUGAGCUGGGACAUGGAGCAGCAGGGGAGGCUGUGACCCCAUCACCAGGGCCUGUGUGGAGGCAGGGCCUCUCAGGGUGGACAUGGCUGCCCAGGAGGGUGGCCUGGGCUGGGAAGGUGGACCAGGGAGCAAAUGACGAGAUGCAAGUAGCGCCGACACUCUUGCACUGUGGGCCGAUGGGCGUGGCCACAGCUUCUCCCACUGGAAGGCCAAGGCACAUGGGGAGCGGCGCUGGUGCUGUCCUGAAACUUGGCGCCCCCUCAGCACAAAGACGUGGGUGGCCCCCUUCUCUCAGCAGUCGCUGCUGAGGGUACCGCUUCCUGGAAUCAUUGCAAAAGUCCUCGGCCAGCUCCCGUGUCACUCCCGGGUGGCAGAAAGGGAGUCCUGGAGAUGAGGGGACCCAGGGCCCUUCUGCGGGCAGGGGCCUGGAGUGGUGGCUGUGCUCGCAGACUGAGUGCGUCUGGAGCUGGGCCCGCCCCUGCCUCUAACUUUAGCUGCUUCCAGGACCGCCCUGCCCCCACCCCCAUCCUCUGUCUUGUCUAAAGGGAUGAGUGCCGCCGAGUCGGCCGUGGGCUCUGGGGAGCCACUUCUAAUGGGAAAACAUGCCCAUUUGCCUAAAUGAAUCAGAUCCAUUUCUCUCCCAUACAUAUUUCAUGGGUUUCCUCUCUACGUAAUUCAAUUAUCACUGUUGUUAGUGCUAAUGCCCAGCUUGGUGCGGCUCCGCUCCCCGACCCUCUGAGCGGAUGCUCCGAGGAGGAGCCCAGAGCAUGGAACCAUCUCUAUGGUAACAGGACGCCAUCGUAUUUCCUGGUGAUCUAUUGCUAUCGUCUUGAGGGCUCUGACUGUAUUGCCAGCAUUAAUAAAUAAGCCUGCGUUACACCCUGGUGACA